rnacentral:rRNA from 1 species
GAUGAACGCUGGCGGCGCGCCUAACACAUGCAAGUCGAACGAUUAAAGCACCUUCGGGUGUGUAUAAAGUGGCGAACGGCUGAGUAACACGUGGGCAACCUGCCCCUUUCAUUGGGAUAGCCACGGGAAACCGUGGAUAAUACCGAAUACUUCGAGACUUCCGCAUGGAAGACUCGAGAAAGCUCCGGCGGAGAGGGAUGGGCGCGCGGCCUGUUAGCUUGUUGGUGGGGUAACGGCCUACCAAGGCAAUGAUGGGUAGCUGGGUUGAGAGACCGACCAGCCAGAUUGGGACUGAGACACGGCCCAGACUCCUACGGGAGGCAGCAGUGGGGAAUCUUGCACAAUGGGCGAAAGCCUGAUGCAGCGACGCCGCGUGCGGGAUGAAGGCCUUCGGGUUGUAAACCGCUUUCAGCAGGGAAGAGGCGAAAGUGACGGUACCUGCAGAAGAAGCCCCGGCUAACUACGUG